AUUGAACGCUGGCGGCGUGCCUUACACAUGCAAGUCGAACGGUAACGGGCCUUCGGGUGCCGACGAGUGGCGAACGGGUGAGUAAUACAUCGGAACGUGCCCGAUCGUGGGGGAUAACGAGGCGAAAGCUUUGCUAAUACCGCAUACGAUCUACGGAUGAAAGCAGGGGACCGCAAGGCCUUGCGCGGACGGAGCGGCCGAUGGCAGAUUAGGUAGUUGGUGGGAUAAAAGCUUACCAAGCCGACGAUCUGUAGCUGGUCUGAGAGGAUGAUCAGCCACACUGGGACUGAGACACGGCCCAGACUCCUACGGGAGGCAGCAGUGGGGAAUUUUGGACAAUGGGCGCAAGCCCGAUCCAGCCAUGCCGCGUGCAGGAUGAAGGCCUUCGGGUUGUAAACUGCUUUUGUACGGAACGAAAAGCCUUCUUUUAAUACAGGAGGGUCAUGACGGUACCGUAAGAAUAAGCACCGGCUAACUACGUG
rnacentral:rRNA from 1 species